rnacentral:misc_RNA from 1 species
ACAACAAACAUGGCCACCGUUGAAUCAAUGGUUGUGGAAGAGCAGCGUGAACCAGAGAAACCUGUAGACAGAGAAAAGACCUGCCCCUUGCUGCUGAGGGUCUUCAACAACAUUGGGCGGCACAAUGCUAUGAGUGAAUACCACCGCGGUCAAACCCCAGCAAACGAACUCCAAAUCUACACAUGGUAAUUACAAUAAAAACAUUGACUGAAGAAAUAUUUUUCUAAUACUGACAGAAGAACUGACACUAGUAUAAGGUUUGGUGUAUACAUGGUACAUGGUAGAUAAUAGUUACUGUAUCUUAAACCUGAUGGUUUAUAGAUAAUAAAGGUGAUAAAUAUCAAAAUAAAAUAUCAAAUUUGAAUUUUCACUGUGGAUAUUUAUUGUGUCAAGUACUGUACAUAGAUAUUUAUUUACUAAUAGUUUUUUGGAGGGGGGUUAUAUAUUUUUUUUUGGUUAUUUCCACAUAAACACUCUUUACUGAUCUUAUUCUUGACUGAAGGCUAGAUGCAACACUGAAGGAACUAACAAGUCUCGUCAAAGAAGUGAACCCCGAAGCCCGGCGGAAAGGAACAUUUUUUGACUUUGCAAUCGUGUAUCCAGAUCCCAGGGCCCCUGUGUAUAGACUGAGAGAAAUUGGCACCACAUGUGCGGGACACAAAGGACAAGACGAUGGAGUCAGUCUCGCCAACAAAAAAUUUGUCAUUGGAGAUUUCCUUGACAUUGCCAUCACACCCCCCAGAAAUGAGCGACCUAACCAACGGAGAAACCGACCACCUUACUGAUCCAGUCGCUGAAGUCAUGUUCAUCCUCUAUCAUUGGUGUCAGACAGGGGGGUUUAAUUUUGUCCCAUCAUUUUAUGUGUAACUGUCAGCAUAGAUUUGAAGAAAAGAAGUAAAUGAAUCUGACAAAAUUUGUUUUUAACCAGAUAUAGCGUGUCCUAAGUAAACAUUGAGUACAUGAAAUCAUUGAAGAAUAUUUCAUCUUUAUCCAUUGCUCAGAAAAGAAACAUGUUUAUUUCUGUUUGGUUAUCUAUGGUAGUUUUAUUAUGAAAUGUCGUCUGGAAUGCACAGAAGAAUGUUUUAUGUAGGCUGUAGAAUGAAUGUACAUGUAAUAAAAUUCGUUCUUUCCAUCAUG